GAGGGCGUAGCUCAGAUGGUAGAGCAACGGACUUUUAAUCCGUAGGUCGUGGGUUCGAGUCCCGCCGCCCUCA
rnacentral:tRNA from 1 species